ensembl:lncRNA
UUAUUUUUCACUUUUCCCUCACAAAGUUGUCAAAUUACAAAUGUCACCUAAUCAAAGCAAAGGAUACUUACUAAAAAUAUGUUUUUUUUAUCAUCACUAGAAAUGUAAAAACCAGUAAAUAACAGCACAAAGCAAUGGUAUGAAGAACAGUAGUACAAUAGAGGUCAUAUAUUGUCACAUCAAUCAGUUUGGUCUUUAUAAGGUACUUGGGAAAUAAAUAGGAGAGGAGCUGUUAGACGCUCUAAGAAACACAUCCAAGUCCAUCCAAUGUUCACCACAGCACAGGCAGCAGGAUCACAGUUACAGUAGGAGAGGUGGGGCUGCGUUGCUAAUCUGAUUGAUGAAGCAUGGAUUCUCUAGCCUGGUCCCAGAUCUGUUCUGUUUUUACUAACCCUAUGGUGAGUCAGGACCAUAGGGGUCGACCAGACAGCAUAAAACUGAUCUGGGACCAGGCUAUGUCUCCAUAGGUCAAGCUCAUUCCAAGACAGAUACAGUCAAAAUUAAAAAAUUAAAAACAUUAUCUAUAUCUGCUAUUUUCUACUAUACUCAAUGUCGUGUUCAAUUUCAACAUAAUGUGUCCCUUGCAUACCUGCUGUGUUAAUGAAUUAUAAUAAUGGACUAUUGUUGCAUUGAAUUAAUAAUAUUACCGCAAUUAGCCCGACUAACCGGUGCCCCAGCACAUUGAUUCUGUACCAGUACCCCCUGUAUAUAGCCUCCACAUUGACUCUGUACCGGUACCCCCUGUAUAUAGACUCCACAUUGACUCUGUACCGGUACCCCCUGUAUAUAACCUCCACAUUGACUCUGUACUGGUACCCCCUGUAUAUAGACUCCACAUUGACUCUACAGGUACCCCCUGUAUAUAGCCUCCACAUUGACUCUAUACCGGUACCCCCUGUAUAUAGCCUCCACAUUGACUCUGUACCGGUACCCCCUGUAUAUAGCCUCCACAUUGACUCUGUACCAGUACCCCCUGUAUAUAGCCUCCACAUUGACUCUGUACCAGUACCCCCUGUAUAUAGCCUCGCUACUGUUAAUUUCACUUUCAUUGUAGUGUUUUUAAAUGUAUUUACUUGUCUAUUGUUUACAUAAUACCUAUUUUUUACUUAAAAAUUGCACUGUUGGUUAAGGGCUUGUAAAGUAAGGAUUUCACUGUAAGGUCUAGCUAGCUAGAUACCUAGCUAACUACUAGUGAUUUGUUACAGGUAACUAGCUAGCUAACUACUAGUGAUUUGUUACAGGUAACUAGCUAGCUAACUACCUGUUGUAUUCGGCAGAUACACUUUUGAUUUGGUAGAGUGUGGUGCUUGCAACGCUUGUGGGUUCGAUUCCUAUGAUGGAUCAGUACAAAAAUGUAUGCAUUCACUUCUGUAAGUUGCUCUGCAUAAGAUCGUCUGCUAAAUGACUUUAAUGUAAGACCGUUCCCUGUAGCAUCUCCGUUAUAGGCCUGAAGAAAUGGUGCCACUUUAUAUGAAAUGUGUGAGCGCUAUUUUAUUUUAGCAACAUUCUUUACAACAAGAGUAUGUCUUAACCUACGUGUGACACCAAGACACAAUGUUUAAUGUGUAGUACUAACUACACAAGCCUCUUAAGUCAUUUGUCUUGGAAGCAGCAUUGUUGUGGGGUGAUAGGGGACAAGAGGCUAAUCUGCCCUGGAUAAGCCUGUGGUGUAGCGGCCUUAGCCUCCUAGUGUCGGGGUUUGGGAGGGGGCACUGGGUCCAUACACCCAGCAAUAGGUCCUCCUCACCUCUCCGUCAUGAUAGCGGAUAUGUGGUGGGAGUUGAUUUUCCAAAAUGGCCGCCAUGCUACACAAUGGUGGUGGAUGAGGUGACUCGCCCCCCCUCCCCCUUUUUUGCUUUGUAAUGCGUCUGGAAAAGCUCAAUAUAAAUCCAAUCUAUUAUUAUGAUUUAUUAUAUGGAUAAUUGUGAUGUUGAAUGACUAAAGUGCAAGCUCGCUGCUUUAUAAUGUGCCCUAUAGACUCACCAUGGGACUCUCACUGCACAUGAGCAAA